UCUUUCUCUUACAUAGUGCCAGGGGCGUAGUGCAGGCCACAUCUGGACUUCCAUAUCAUAUCAUCAUGUCAUAACAUAGGAGGGCUAAUGGAUCAUUCAACAUUCAUCCACAUCAACAACAUUUUAUGCAAUGCAACAUAUUCGUGAUUUCUAAUGCAAGCAACCUAAGAUAUCACAUGGCAUCCGUGAUGCAUGAACAUGCUCAAAACUGAUUUAUUUAUUUAAAAGCAUAAGAGUCAUU
rnacentral:lncRNA from 1 species